CUGCUAUGUUUGGUACCCAAUAAUGUGAAUAUCCCUACACAUGCAAGUCUUCACCGACAUUUCUUCUUUUUUUGAGAAAAAUCAUGUCUUAUUGCGCUAAGUAUAGAUUUAAAAAGAAAAUGGCUCGCGAAGAUUAUGUAAAUCUGGCAUCUUCAUCGUCAAUUGUUGACGGAACGGACAGGAACUGAGUUUCACUCAGAAUUGGAUUCAAACAAGGGUUCAAAUAAUCACUCCUAUGCAGUAAAAUCAUUGAUUUGAUGUCAACAUUGAAAUCAUUUCAAGAAUAUUAUUUUGGAUAUUUCAAUGUUGAAAAAAUUUCGUAUUCUGUAUGGGCACUUGAUUUGAAAAUAUUGAAAUCAUAGAUUGAUUGAAAUAAAAGUCAAUGUGUCAUUUGGCAACAUGGCAUUGUAUUAAAUUUACCAACUUCAUAUUUGUUAGAAUAGAAUCUCUGGUCUUUAAAUAUUAAACAUAACCUUUUAAUCUUUCUUGAAUGUUGUGUGUGCACAGUGCAAAUAUAUUUAUUUUCUUUGUGAUUUUUAUUAAAUAAAGAAGGUAAGUAUGAUAACUAUUUGAUCAUAAAAGUAAUGAUUAAACAGCUUUUACUGGAUGUGUCCUUGUGUUGAUAUGUAUGUGCUGCAUUUCUUGUACGCAUGCAUUGAAUUUAAAACUUUAAAUUUCAAUGAUGUAUGUAUGUUUAUAGGAGGCUAUUAAUGGACAAAUUACAAUCCUAAAACUGAAUCCACAUGAUAUAAUUUCUCGGGUCCGUUGUAACUGUGAUCAAUAUAAUCAUUUAAAAGUUCACAACCACAACUUUGUUCUUUUAUUGGUCACAGUCGCAACAGAUCUGUGAAAUCGUGAAUGAUGUGGAUUCAGCCUAAUUGAUAUGUAUGUAUCGAUAAGUACUAGAUGUUAAUUUUUAAUUUAGAUGCCGCCAAAAAAGGCAACGCCUGAGCAGUAUAAACUGCUUGUGGACAUGUUUGCUGAAAGCAAAUGCUUGAGGUGGGGAAAGGGAACUCCAGGUGAAAAAAAGGAAGCAUGGGAAGCCAUCAGUGCUGCAGUUAAUACUUUAGGAGUUGAGAAAUCGUCAGAUGGAUGGAAAAAGGCCUUUAUUGAGAUGAAAUCUCACAUCAAAUCAAAAAUCCGAGCUUCAAACCAGCUCAACCCAACUGAAAAUAGAUGUGCAGAAGUCACCGGAUUGUUUAUAUCCUGCUCUGGAAUUUCUGGGGUUCAGGAAAUGGGAAUGCCACCUGUUGUUGAUGCGAUAGAUACACAAGAACCCGAAGAGGGCCCUCAAGAUGAGUCGGUCGAAAUAAAUCCACCUGACGUGAAUCCGAAUGCAUGUGAGGUUGUUGAGGAAGAAUUCGAGGAGGUAGAAACAGCCUCAAAAAAAAAACGUAAAACAACUCAAGCAAUAAAAAAAACAAAAACUACACCACAACAGUACGAAAUGAAGAAAUAUAAAUACGACAAUGAAGAAAAUGCUUUUAAAGCAUUAUGUGAAGAACUGAAUGGGAAAAAAAAAUUGCAACGCUCUGUUGAAAAUUGGAAAAGGGUAUAUACCUGAGGUGUGUGCUUAAAAUCACUUAUAUGAUGUAAAAUAGGUUUUUACUGUUUGGGAAUCAAAAGUGAAAGCAAAAGCUAGGAGAAACUAUUUGGAACAAGAGCGCACAGGAGGUGGAGUUCCUAUCUUAGAAAUUCUGGAUGAACUUGAACUACAAUUGUUAUCCGUUUUAACAAAAAUUUUAAUAUAUGGGCAUCCAAAGGUUGUAGAAUUGGGAUUUACAAAACCAAAGAAGACAAAGACGUGUCCCAUUAAACUUUCUGUAGGAAAGAGAUACAGACAUUUGAGAAAAUCCACUGAUUUAUACACCACAUUGAAAAGCGGCUCAACAAAACUAAAAAAUAGUUUACUCGCUAUUCAAAAAAGUUUGCAUGCUCUGCAUGAUGCGAUUUUAAACCUAUUUACUCUAGUUUUAAG